rnacentral:rRNA from 1 species
GGCGCACGGGUGAGUAACGCGUAGGUAAUCUACCCCUGUAUCUGGGAUAACCGACCGAAAGGUUGGCUAAUACCGGAUAAUCUUUAGAUAUCGCGAGGUAUAUAGAGCAAAGGUGACCUCUGAUCAAGUUACCGUAGAGGGAUGAGCCUGCGUACCAUUAGCUAGUAGGUGGGGUAAAGGCCUACCUAGGCGACGAUGGUUAGCGGGUCUGAGAGGAUGAUCCGCCACACUGGAACUGGAACACGGACCAGACUCCUACGGGAGGCAGCAGUGAGGAAUAUUGCGCAAUGGGGGCAACCCUGACGCAGCGACGCCGCGUGGGUGAGGAAGGUUUUCGGAUCGUAAAGCCCUGUCAGGUGGGAAGAAGUGUGUAGCGGUUAAUACCCGUUACAUUUGACGGUACCACCAGAGGAAGCACCGGCUAACUCCGUGCCAGCAGCCGCGGUAAUACGGAGGGUGCGAGCGUUGUUCGGAAUUACUGGGCGUAAAGGGCGCGUAGGCGGCUUGAUAAGUCAGUUGUGAAAGCCCACGGCUCA